rnacentral:tRNA from 1 species
GCCCCCGUAGCUCAGUCGGUAGAGCGCUACCUUGGUAAGGUAGAGGUCAGCGGUUCAAGUCCGCCCGGGAGCU